rnacentral:lncRNA from 1 species
UCGUUGCUUGGAUUUUUCACAGCUACAUGACAUUAGAUUAUUAUGAGACAACUGGCUUCCAAGUUGCACUUGACAAACGUCGCGUAUCUGAACCACAUUAUGUGCAAAUUGUCACUAGCAACACGACGCUAUUACCUGAAUCACACGUAAUCAGAUUUUUAAGAAGCUGUCCACAUAAUUAUACCAUGCUUGAAAUUUUCCCGAAGAAAUAAUACCAUACUUGAAAUCAAAGAGGGUCCAUAAUUGGAUAGCAUUAAUUAAGG